CGCAACUUGCGCCCUCUGGUAUUCUGGCGGGCAUGCCUGUUCGAGCGUCAUUACAUCCCUCAAGCCCCCGGGCUUGGUGUUGGAGAUCGGCGAGCCCCCGCGCCCGCCGUCCCCUAAAUUUAGUGGCGGUCACGCUGUAACUUCCUCUGCGUAGUAGCACACUUAGCACUGGGAAACAGCGCGGCCACGCCGUAAAACCCCCAACUUUUAUACGUUUGACCUCGAAUCAGGUAGGACUACCCGCUGAACUUAA
rnacentral:misc_RNA from 1 species